AUUGAACGCUGGCGGCAGGCCUAACACAUGCAAGUCGAGCGAGCGGCGGACGGGUGAGUAAUGUAUGGGAAACUGCCCGAUGGAGGGGGAUAACUACUGGAAACGGUAGCUAAUACCGCAUACUAUCGGAUGAACCCAGAUGGGAUUAGCUAGUAGGUGGGGUAAGGGCUCACCUAGGCGACGAUCCCUAGCUGGUCUGAGAGGAUGACCAGCCACACUGGAACUGAGACACGGCCCAGACUCCUACGGGAGGCAGCAGUGGGGAAGAUUGCACAAUGGGCGCAAGCCUGAUGCAGCCAUGCCGCGUGUGUGAAGAAGGCCUUAGGGUUGUAAAGCACUUUCAGCGGGGAGGCGUUACUCGCAGAAGAAGCACCGGCUAACUCCGUGCCAGCAGCCGCGGUAAUAC
rnacentral:rRNA from 1 species